GCCAGCGGGCGAUCAUGGCCAUCAAUACUCUUCUUGAAUGAAUGUAUCAAACGUUGAAUUAUCUUCUGAAUACCUCUGUAUAAACAUUUAAUGCUCCUUUUGUCGUUGCUAUGUGAAUACAAACUUGAACGUCUCCCCUUCGCAGCUUUUAGCUCAACGGUCAUCUGUUUUGAAUAGAUGCUUUACUAACUGUUGCCCCUUACCUUUUCUCCUCCUAUAA
rnacentral:lncRNA from 1 species